UGCUUUUUAGCAAAGGCUUGAGAUUUAAUUGAACUAAAUUGAGGUUUAGGAAGAUUAUUUGCACUUUCUGAUGGAGGGUUUAAAGAUUUCCCCAUCAGUUGACGCUUGUCGAGCGAGUCGUGAGUCCGAGUCAGUGGGGGAAUGUCUGUGGGCUACUCGACCUAAUCUAUUCUGCCGGACCAUGUGCCUCAUCUCGAACGAGGGACUCCCUCUCCCCUGCUUUUAAGUAGCCCCUGACGCUUUACUGUUGCAAGCCUGCAGAAACCCCAGCUUUUUCACUGCUCAAAACGGCAUACAAGACUGGUCAUAAGGCUGGUCACGUGUUGAGGUCCUUCUCUCUCUCUCUCUCUCUCUUCAGCGGUCUCUUCAGCGGUCAAUUACUCGUUAGACUCGAACAGCAAGUAACAUGUAACAUAAUUUAUGUUUUCCCAGGUGCGAUGAUAGUAUAUUCACUCCCGAUGUUAUCCCCCUGUCCCCUUAAGUUUUAUCAGCUACCUUGGAUGCCCCAAGCCUGAGUUUCUCUCCUCGUCCUUUCGUUUUGCUUGUUCCUUCAACGUGGGAAACAUUUUACCGCCAUGUGAUUUCACUCCCAUGUUCAACUGUCAAGAGUGACACG
rnacentral:lncRNA from 1 species